CGCCGCCCUGCCCGCUUCUACGGGAGACCCUGCUGCCCGAGACCGCCCGCCGGCUCCUCCGGCGGCAGAGCAAGGCGCCCGCGGAAGGGGAAGAAGAGGAGCAGGAGCGGGACGAGCCCGCCACUCAGCCCGAGAGCGACGGCUCCGCCGCUCGGCGCGCUCAGCCACGAAGGAGCGGAGAGCGGCUGCUACUCAGGGAUCCUCCUCAAGCCUCUCCCGGGGUCCGCCAAGAGGACGAGGGUCGCCCACAUCACCGAUUUCUUCGCCAAGCGGAAAAGAGUGGCCGCGGACUCCAGCAGCGCGUUGGCCUUGGAGCAGACGCCCCGGAAAAGGCUCCGAUGAACGAGAUUUUGCACUAUAGGACACCGAAGUGAGUGAUUGUUUCCUUGGAAACGCCAGAGCUGGAGCAAAGGCCCCUUCCUCUCCCCACACGUCAAAGGGACCCACUGGGAGGGAAGGAGAGCGGAGCGUGACGGAGACCUUCCUCCUCUCCCAUUCGUCCCCCAGAAGGAACUGCUUGUACCUCCAUGUAGCAAAAGUGGCAGACCUGCAAGCCACCUGACGGAGCAGUGUUAAUUUACAACUGUGCAAUGUAUUACGUUUUAUAUAUAUUAAAAAUGUAUUAUGCCUAAUGUGAGUACACUGGCCAGAAGUGUAAAAGCUUUAAAAGUCACUUAUAUAAAUGUUUAAUCUCUGCUGAUUUUUCAGUGCAAAACAAAUUGUAUAUUUGUACAAAAAAUACAAACAACUUAAGAGUUCUACUAACUUAUAUUUUCUAUUUAUGUCAGAAGGUGGAUAACUUUGGUUGAAGCCUUGUAGUCUAUUCUGUGUUUUUUUUCUUAUUUGGUUAAGCCAAAGGGCACUAUAUAUUUGCUUUUUUUUGUUAUUUACAAAAAUGUAAAUUUAUUUUUAUAGUGGGGUUUUUUUGCAUUCACAAAAUGUAGCUAUGAAUCAAAAUUACUUUAGUUAUUACUUGAAAAAAAUCUGGUAACAAUGGUUCCUGAGCCAGUCUGUACCACUGCCAUUGCCAAUUUAUGCCACAAUGUUAAAAAUAAAAAAGGAAUCAAAUGACCAUUUGCUUUUAUGAUGUCUCGCUUUUAUUCCCCUUCGGUGAUUCUAAUUGGGAC
rnacentral:lncRNA from 11 species